rnacentral:rRNA from 1 species
CCUACGGGGGGCAGCAGUGGGGGAUAUUGCACAAUGGGGGAAACCCUGAUGCAGCGACGCCGCGUGGGUGAAGAAGCGCCUCGGCGCGUAAAGCCCUGUCAGCAGGGAAGAAAAUGACGGUACCUGAAGACGAAGCCCCGGCUAACUACGUGCCAGCAGCCGCGGUAAUACGUAGGGGGCAAGCGUUAUCCGGAUUUAUUGGGUUUAACGGGUGCGUAGGCGGAAUGCCAAGUCAGCGGUAAAAUCGCGGGGCUCAACCUCGCUCCGCCGUUGAAACUGGCGUUCUUGAGUGGGCGAGAAGUAGGCGGAAUGCGUGGUGUAGCGGUGAAAUGCAUAGAUAUCACGCAGAACUCCGAUUGCGAAGGCAGCAUACCGGCGCCCAACUGACGCUGAAGCACGAAAGCGUGGGUAUCGAACAGGAUUAGAUACCCGGGUAGUC